CCCUUAGAUGUUCUGGGCCGCACGCGCGCUACACUGACGAAGUCAGCGAGCAUGUCCUACGCCGACAGGUGCGGGGGAUCUUGUCAAACUUCGUCGUGAUGGGGAUUGAUUAUUGAAAUUCUUGAUCAUCAACGAGGAAUUCCUAGUAAGCGCAAGUCAGCAGCUUGCGUUGAUUACGUCCCUGCCCUUUGUACACACCGCCCGUCGCUACUACCGAUUGAAUGGUUUAGUGAGAUCUUCGGAUUGGCGCCACUGCGGCUCAGCAAUGGGCUCGGUGGAUGCCGAAAAGUUGAUCAAACUUGAUCAUUUAGAGGAAGUAAAAGUCGUAACA
rnacentral:rRNA from 1 species